UGAGAAGGCCGAGAGACUGAAGUCCUGCAUUUUUUCACAGAACACGUAGAACCUGGACCACAGCAAUUCAACUUUUCCCCACACUGCCCUGACACUGUGCCCGGACCCUGACCUGGGGGGCCCGCGUCCGGGGUGAGAGGGGUGGCUCAUUGAUUCAGUCCUUGGCCAUUCUUCUGAAACUGCCAAC
rnacentral:sRNA from 2 species